AGCUCCCUGCGGUGUGCGUGAGCAUACCCGUAGUUCCGAGCCAACACCUCAACACAGGGAGCCCGGCUCUGCGCGCGGAAGGCAUGCCUCUGAGGCAACGAGGGGGAGUCCGGAAACCGCGCAGGGGGGCACCCACCUGCCGAGUGCAGGUUCGGGAACUGCGGUACCACGGCACAAUGGGGAGCUG
rnacentral:other from 1 species